rnacentral:rRNA from 1 species
CGUAGGGUGCGAGCGUUAAUCGGAAUUACUGGGCGUAAAGCGUGCGCAGGCGGUUUAGUAAGACAGGCGUGAAAUCCCCGGGCUCAACCUGGGAACUGCGCUUGUGACUGCUAAGCUAGAGUACGGCAGAGGGGGGUGGAAUUCCACGUGUAGCAGUGAAAUGCGUAGAGAUGUGGAGGAACACCAAUGGCGAAGGCAGCCCCCUGGGUCGAUACUGACGCUCAUGCACGAAAGCGUGGGUAGCAAACAGGAUUAGAUACCCUGGUAGUCCGCGCCCUAAACGAUGUCAACUAGGUGUUGGGAGGGUAAAACCUUUUAGUACCGGAGCUAACGCGUGAAGUUGACCGCCUGGGGAGUACGGCCGCAAGGUUA